UGCCUUCGUCUUCGUACUUCGUUGUCUUGCUCAAACUCUCUAAUAGAGAGUUUGAGCAAGACAACGAAGUACGAAGACGAAGGCG